rnacentral:rRNA from 1 species
GACGAACGCUGGCGGCGUGCCUAAUACAUGCAAGUCGAGCGAAGAGUUUAUGGUGUUUGUUCUUGAAAAAUUUAGCGGCGGUCGGGAGAGUAACACGUAAAGAAACUGCCUCAUCGUCUGGGACAACUAUUGGAAACGAUAGCUAAUACUGGAUAACAGCAUUAUUUACUUUGUUGAUGUUUAAAAGUUGGUUUUGCUAACACAUUGAUAUGGCUUUGCGGUGCAUUAGCUAGUUGGUGGGGUAAAGGCCUACCAAGGCAACGCUGCAUUGCAGACCUGAGAGGGUGAUCGGCCACACUGGAACUGGGACACGGCCCAGACUCCUACGGGAGGCAGCAGUAGGGAAUCUUCCGCAAUGGGCGAAAGCCUGACGGAGCAACGCCGCGUGGGUGAAGAAGGAUUUCGGUUCGUAAAGCUCUGUUGUUAGGGAAGAAGGAUGGGGUAGUAACAAGACACAGUAGAGACGGUACCUAACCAGAAAGCCACGGCUAACUACGUG